GAAAUGCGAUAAGUAAUGUGAAUUGCAGAAAUCAGUGAAUCAUCGAAUCUUUGAACGCACCUUGCACUCCUUGGUAUUCCUUGGAGCAUGCCUGUUUGAGUAUCAUGAAAUCUUCAAAGUAAAUCUUUUGUUAACUCAAUUGGUUUCUACUUUGGUAUUGGAGGUCUUUGCAGCUUCACACCUGCUCCUCUUUGUUCAUUAGCUGGAUCUCAGUGUUAUGCUUGGUUCCACUCGGCGUGAUAAGUUAUCUAUCGCUGAGGACACUGUAAAAGGUGGCCAAGGUAAAUGCAGAUGAACCGCUUCUAAUAGUUCAAUGACUUGGACAAUACUUUUAUGAUCUGAUCUCAAAUCAGGUAGGACUACCCGCUGAACUUAAGC
rnacentral:misc_RNA from 1 species